AUUGAACGCUGGCGGCAGGCCUAACACAUGCAAGUCGAACGGCAGCACAGAAGAGCUUGCUCUUUGGGUGGCGAGUGGCGGACGGGUGAGUAAUAUCUGGGAAACUGCCCGAUGGAGGGGGAUAACUACUGGAAACGGUAGCUAAUACCGCAUAACGUCGCGAGACCAAAGUGGGGGACCUUCGGGCCUCACACCAUCGGAUGUGCCCAGAUGGGAUUAGCUAGUAGGUGGGGUAAUGGCUCACCUAGGCGACGAUCCCUAGCAGGUCUGAGAGGAUGACCAGCCACACUGGAACUGAGACACGGUCCAGACUCCUACGGGAGGCAGCAGUGGGGAAUAUUGCACAAUGGGCGCAAGCCUGAUGCAGCCAUGCCGCGUGUAUGAAGAAGGCCUUCGGGUUGUAAAGUACUUUCAGCGGGGAGGAAGGCGGUGAGGUUAAUAACCUUGCCGAUUGACGUUACCCGCAGAAGAAGCACCGGCUAACUCCGUGCCAGCAGCCGCCGUAA
rnacentral:rRNA from 1 species